CGCUUCUCUCUGUUCAAAGCACCGCGCCGCGUCGUGCAUGUCGUCGGUACUCGGUAUAGACUUUCGUUGCAGCCGUUCCAUGCGUUAGAACACACCGUCAGACGUAUUCACAACGUGAGAGCAGCUUUUCAGAUUUACUGCCUUCUUUACACGCUUGACAAACGCUUGUCAAAACGCAAGAAAGCUCUUUAACACCGUGAUAAUAACUCAUUGACAACGACCUGUUCGGAGAAGUCGGAGAAGUGUAGCGUCGGAAGUCGUGUAGCGAAGAAGUUCUUAAUUAAAACAACUACAUUCCUUUGGAUUGGUAGCAACGUUUCAAAGGUAUUUCCAGAAAUUUGCUGAUUGACAUCUAAUUGGUAGGUCAAUUAUUGGUUGUUGAUGGAAUCGCGUGAAAAGAGACUGCUUGGUUCGUAGCCGGAGAAGGUGUAAGUCUUUUUUCUAGUUAUUAUCGAAAUUCAAUCGAAUGUACUCGAAGGUAAAAUUCUAUGAGUUAUUCUAUGCCAUAAUUUAUAUUUCACGUAAAAGAGCGAUGAUAGAAUCAUAAGUUUCUUCAAUAGUUAGAACCGUUCGCUUUAUCAAUUUUCUAUUGGAUCAUAACAAAUAGUUUCACGGUAACUAAUGAAAGCGAAGAUUUCUCUCGCUCUUUAAUUAUUAGUAUAUAAUAAUGCGUACUGCAAGUAGAUUUAAUUAGAAGCGCGUAAAAAGUACUUGAAGUUUCGUAGCUAUAUGACCACGCUUCAUUCCUUUGAUAAUGUUUGUUUAUUGAUCUCUGUUUGUCAAUAAUAAUUCUACGCGAAAAUUGGAAAUAUAUAAAAAUAAAACGUACCAGACACAUUCUGCUAUUGUUAAACGAGAACAAUAUUAUCUUGUUAGCAACGAACGAAGAAUACUUACCAACGUAAAACUACGCUCUUAUUCCAUAAAAAUUUAAGAAAAUUUCUAUUCUUAAUGAAGUCUGUUCUACUGGAGCAGCCAUUUAACCUCCGUUCGACAUGAAUCUUUGAUUUCUUCGAAGUUUGCAGUCGUUAUGAACUGUGAAGAUCAGGAUGAGCCUGGCCGCGAGAAGCACAUGCUACGUCGAAGGUAGGGAAGUUGAAAAUACAGUCUCAGACGAAGGUACACGCGUGCAGAGGUGCACGAGCGAUGGCUCCUUUGCCCCGGUACAUAGCGAAGUCGAUGGCAGUGGCCCAAAGAGAAUUUCCUAGUAGCGCAAGUCCUGCACGGUUGGCAAGCGGCAGUCACUUGGAGUUACCUUUAGAACUCACCUUUUCCUCCCCUCGUGUUUCUCCAUUUUCUUUCCGUUCCAUUUAUUUGCUCGUGUAUACGCGCAUGUAAAUCUAGGCUACACGAGAACCCGGAACGUGGCUUCUCCGCGUGGACGACCACGCUGUUCUGCAUUUAUUUUUAUGGACGCCGUUGUAAACAAGCAUCGUAACGCUUUGUGCUCCGGACAGGGAACGGAUUCUUACAGCAGAGCGUCGGAAGAAUUCUGUGAGAUCGUGGUUCUUGGUUCGUCGGUGAGUUGUAUGGAAUGUAUAAUACAUGAUUUAAUUGUGCUAUUUUCAGUAUUUUCUAUUUUGUAAUUUGUAUAAUACCGUUGUACUCAAAUGUUUUAUCGUUAUCCAAUCUUUUUUAACUUUUAAUUUAGCGUGGAUGCCAAUUUAUUGAUACGACUGCCUACAGUAUACGAUUAAGAACUUUAUAUAGUUUGAGUUAAACCUAAGUUAUAAAAGUCACAAUUAUAUAGCUAAUCCUCACCGCUACUCAAACUCAAACCUAACUUGAAAAAUCCGUAUCGUUAACUCGUUUAAACAUUAACGUUCGAUGUAUCAAAAAAGGGGACACAAAGUUAGAGAAAUAAGACGUGCAUAGGACACGUGGAGUGUCUUCGAAACGUAAAUCUUCGUUCGAUGUCUUGACACAGCAAGAGGAUUUGCUUCUGAGGAUUGGGGCAGAGUUUAAGGCAAGCGCGAAGGGUAGAGGAAUACAGAUGCAACUGUACAGAUCGUUAGAAGAAUCGCGUUCGAACUCUCGAAACUAGUGUUCUCUCACUGUAGGAAAUUCUUUGGAAUGGCGAGUCUCUUCAGAGCAUGUAAUUCGUAAUAACGUUUGAACGGCGCGCUUAGAUGUUAAAGAAUCGAAUGUACUCCAUGAAAUAAUGCUAUUCAAGGAAGAAGACGCGAUCGCGAAUUUCAGGAUGGAUCGCUGGUACCGGUUGGACGAGACGGGUGUAUCUGGAAAUCCUGGCGAGGAUUCGAUCAGUUCCUCGCGAGAAGAACG